GUACUGUGCAAACGUUAUUCGGAAUCACUGGGCUUAAAGGGUGCGUAGGCGGUGAUUUAAGUAGGGUGUGAAAUCCCUCGGCUCAACCGAGGAACUGCGCUCUAAACUGAAUCACUUGAGUAAGAUAGGGGUGUGCGGAACUUCCGGUGGAGCGGUGAAAUGUGUUGAUAUCGGAAGGAACGCCAGUAGCGAAAGCGGCACACUGGGUCUUAACUGACGCUGAGGCAUGAAAGCCAGGGUAGCGAACGGGGGAUUAGAUACCCCGGUAGUCCUGGCUGUAAACGAUGAGCACUAGUUGGAAGGCGCUUACGCAUUUUCCAACGUAGCAAACGUAUUAAGUGCUCCGCCUGGGGAGUAUGGUCGCAAGGCUG
rnacentral:rRNA from 1 species